rnacentral:rRNA from 1 species
UACAGGGGGUGCAAACGUUGCUCGGAAUCAUUGGGCGUAAAGCGCACGUAGGCGGUCUGUUAUGUCGGAUGUGAAAUCCCUCGGCUUAACCGGGGAACUGCGUCUGAUACUGGAUGGCUUGAGGUUGGGAGAGGGAUGCGGAAUUCCAGGUGUAGCGGUGAAAAUUCGUAGAUAUUGGGAAGAACACCGGUGGCGAAGGCGGCUCUCUGGACCGAUACUGACGCUGAGGCGCGAAAAGCGUGGGGGAGCAAACAGGAU